CUCGGAGUUCAGCUAGGGUUUUCAUAGAUUAAUUGAUGGUUAGCUCAAGGGACCUAUAAAUCGUUGAGCAGUAGUUUCCACUCAGGUUGACCGACAAUCCUAAAUUCAGAAUUAAGCUUGGGUACAGUUUAUGAUUGCAAGAUAAUGUGCCAUAGGAAUGGGAGUCAAUUUUAAAUGUUAUUGCUGCUGCUAGCACUUUCUUUCUAGAACAAGUUUCCAUUGAUGAGUGCCUUUCAAUGUAAUUUUAUUAUAUACAAGGCAAAAAGGUUAAAGUUUCAAUAUUCCUUGUCCCAGCUACCCAAAAGGUUUGUCUCCUAAAUGCAAUGCUAAAAUAAUUAGUUGCUUAAUGUUGUCCAUAAGAGGAGAGAAAUAUGUCUAACACAUCUGUUGGGAUUAAACUCACUUAACCUCUCAAGUCAGUAUGUCCAUCUAUUUGCCUAUCAGAUGAAUCUGAAGAAAGCUGCUGUAAUUUAUAAUAGUUGGCUUUAAUACCAACUUAAAGGGGACCCACCAGCAACUAUAUAUAGGGGUUCCUCUAUUCUAAAAAGAGAGGUUUGAGGGGAGAGUUCUGAUCUCUAAUCUCCAAUGCUCAUACUUUAAAUUCAGUUUAGAGAGAGAGAGAGAGAGUCCAAGAUCAUAGUGAGUGUGUGUGGAGGGAUGUAAAAAGGGAGUAUCACUCUUGAAGUGAUUUCCCUCAAUGUGAGGCAUUUCUUUAUAAUUACUUACUGUGUUGAGUUGUAAUCUUGGACUCAAUCUAUUGUGUACUACUGACUAUUCCUAUUCAAUAAAGAUCCAUUAUUCACCCAUUAUUGAGUUAAGUUUUCUUUGUCUUAUUUCAAUUAAGUUCAAGUUUUAGUUUUGUCAUUGGUUUUAGUUUUGAUUUGUGUUUUUUGAACAUUGUUACUGCUGUAACAACUUGUUUUGAGGGUGAGGAUUCACCACAAAUGGUAUCAGAGCUCAGGGUUCAGAGUUCAAGAAUCACAUUCAACCAAUCAAGAUUCAUCUUCAUCAUUUCAAGAAUCAAACUCAAACUUUCAAGAACCAUAUUCAAGCAAUCAAGAAUUAGUUUUAAUGGCUUCAGCAAGGUUUGAGGUAGAUAAGUUCAAUGGUUCGAAUGAUUUCAGCCUAUGGAGAAUCAAAAUGAAAGCCUUUCUAGUUCACUAAGGGAUUUGUGAGGAGCUUGAUGAUGAAGCCAUGAAAUUAAUUGAAGACAAUAAGAAGAAACUUGAGAUUGAAGCCAAAGCACAUACUGCCAUCCUCCUCAGUCUUGGUGAUGAGGUUUUGAGAGAAGUUUCAGAUGAAGACAAGGCCUUGUUGGGUUUUGUGCCCUAAAUAAAACUCAUUUCAAUAUAAUCAGAUCUACUAAUUAAUAAAGAUCAGAAAUCAUUUUAUGUUGCAU